UCUGCCAAAUAUGGUUAGGUAUCAGUCCUCUAGGAUUGACUCCAAGAUUAACUUGUGGUAAAAAGGUCACACAAUUUUGACAUUGUUUUAUUAUUUGUCUAGCUUGUUCCUUAGUUAUUUUAAAACGCUUUUCUAAAGUAUUAGCAUUGACAUGGAACCUUUUAUGAAAAUGUGUAGCUUCUUCUAGUGUAGAGAAAAUAUGUAUGUCAUGUGUAGUUUUAUCUGCUAAAUCGUUGCCCAAACUAAGGGCUCCAGGCAAUCCUGUAUGUGCCCUGAUAUGUCCUAUAAAGAAUGGAUCUUUUCUGUCCCAGAUUAGACUUUGUAUAGCAGAAAACAAAGAGAAAACUGUAGAGGAAGGGGAAAUCCUGCCAGCAUCUUCAAGGGAUACUAUAGCAUUAACUAUAUACUGACUAUCAGAAAAUAAAUUAAAUACAGAAUCUUUAAACAUCACAAAAGCUUGUAAAACUGCAUUAAGCUCUACCUUUUGAGCUGAUUGUUUGGGUACUAAAAAUGUAAAAGUUUGAUCAGGGGUAACUACUGCUGCUGUACCAUUAUUUGACCCAUCAGUGAAUACAUUUGGAGCAUUCAUGAUAGGGGUUUUUCUUGUCAUUUUUGGAAAAACUACAGGAUGUGAAGACCAAAAAGACAACAAAGGAUUAGAUGGUAAGUGAUUAUCAAAUGAAACAUUAGAUUUACACAUGAUUAUUGCCCAAGUAUUUAACUCAUUAGCUAACUCAUCAAUUUGAUCCAUAGUAUAUGGAGUAAUAAUUUUAUUGGGAGAAAUUCCAAACACUCCCUUUGCUGCUUUUAUUCCUUUGAGUAUUAAUUUUCCUACAGCCUCAGGAUACCUAGUAAGAAUAGUGUUAGGAGAAUAAGAUAAAUGUUUCCACAAUAAUGGACCUUCUUGCCAAAAUACUCCUGUAGGAAUAUUUUUUGUUGGUAUUACAAUAAAUAAUAAAGGCAAAGUUAUAUCAAUUCUAUCCAAAUGCAUAUUUUUCCAUAUAUGUUUCAAUAAUUUUUAAUGCCUUUCUUGCUUCAGGUGUUAACAUGCGGGGUGAAUUUGGAUCUGAUGGACCUUUUAGGAUAUCAAAUAAAGGUCCCAACUCUCCUGUUGGUAUGCCUAGAUAAGGCCUUAUCCAAUUUAUGUCUCCUAAUAACUUUUGAAAGUCGUUAAGUGAUUUGAGUUGAUCUACUCGUAUUUGAAUUUUUGGUGGACGGACCAUGGUUGAGGAUAAUAGAACUCCUAAAUAAUUAAUUGGAAAAUUUAAUUGUACUUUAUCUAUUGCUAUCUCUAGAUUAUAUUUUUUUAAUAAAUUUGUAAGUGUGGCAUAACAUUCUAGCAAUGUGUUUUUAUCUUUGUGUGCUAACAAUACAUCAUCCAUAUAGUGAAAUAUUUGUAGUUUAGGAUUUUGAUUUCUAAGUGGCUGGAUUGCUUGGUUAACAUAAAUUUGACACAUAGUUGGGCUGUUACCCAUCCCUUGAGGGAGUACUUUCCAUUCAUAUCUCUGAUCAGGACCUUCAUGAUUCAGUGCAGGGAUAGUAAAUGCAAAACGUGGACUAUCCUCAGGAUGAAUUGGAAUUGAAAAAAAACAAUCUUUAAUAUCUAUAACUAAAACAUACCAGGUUUUUGGCAAAGCAGACAACUGAGGAAUCCCUGAUUGAGCAGGUCCCAUAAUAACCAUCUCAUUAUUAAUGGCUCUUAAAUCUUGCAAUAAUCUCCAUUUACCAGAUUUCUUUUUGAUGACAAAAAUGGGAGUAUUAUGGGGAGAUACAGAAGGUUGUAUAUGUCCUUCCGCUAAUUGUUGUUUGACCAGGUCAUGGGCUGCUUGUAUCUUUUCUUUAGUCAGGGGCCACUGAGGAACCCAUACUGGUCUUUCUGACUUCCAAGUAAUUUUUAUUGUCUCAGUGACCCCUUCUGAAAACCCAGUCCAUGUCUAUUUAUUCCUUGAUCUAUUUGAAUUGGUGCUGCUAUGCCUUGUUCUCCUAAUCUUUUUUCUUUCCUGAAACCUUGUCUAGCCCUAAUAGUGGGCGCAUUUGGAUUGAUGUUAUUUGUUAAUGUCAAACCUAAUUGAUCUAGGACAUCUCGUCCCCAUAAAUUUAUAGGAAGAUGAUCCAAUACAUAUGGCUGUAUAGUUCCUUCACAUCCUUCAGGAUCCUUCCAAUCUAAUACCAUUGCACUUCUAUGGGGAUUAGUUGCCACUCCUAGGCCUUGAAGCGUUUGAGUGGCUUGUUUUAACGGCCAAUGUUUUGGCCAUUCUUGACGAGAUAUGAUGCUAAGGUCUGCACCUGUAUCCAGUAGCCCAUUAAAUUCAUGUCCUUGAAUAUUUAGUUUUAGCAUUGGGCAAGAAUCUAAAUUUAAAGACAGCAUAGCCCAAUCUACACCUGUGGAGCCUAAUCCCCUGGAACCUCUUUCUAUAGUACUACUAGAAAAUUUAUCAUGUAGGCUAGGUAUUAUUAAUAACUGUGCUAUUCUAUCUCCUGGUGAAAUUACUGAUAUACCCUUUGGAGAACUAGCUAUAAUUUUUAUUUCACCUUCAUAAUCGGGAUCAAUUACCCCGGGACUUAUCAUAAGUCCUUUUAGCGUAGAAGAACUGCGUCCUAACAAUAAGCCUACUGUUCCUUGGGGAAGAGGUCCUUUUACUCCUGUGGGAAUGAUUUGAACUCCCAUCUCUGGAGUUAGUACUGCUCUGGCGGAGGUGCAGAUGUCCAACCCUACGCUCCCUCUGGUUUUUCUGAUGAGAGAUCUGAUGGAUAAUGUGUCCUUGGCACUGCCCUGAUGGUGUUGCUGGGUUCCUCCAUGGUGUUUCUGGGCUCCUCCAGUGCCCCGUACAUUUGUGGUUGUGGGCCCCGGAGCAUUGGGCCCCCCUAUCCGUUUUUUGGCAAUGGAGCCCGAUGCCUUUCUCCACGAUAUCGUGGGUAAACACUUGGUCCUUGUCUGUUUUUUGAUAAUGGAAUACCCUCUAUGGUGGUUUGAGAACAGCAUUCAUUAGCCCAAUGUUUCCCUCUACGGUAUCGUGGGCAAAUACCCGGUAUUCUAUUCCUUUGAUACCUAGCUUUGUUAAACCCUACUCCUAUGGGGCAACUCCUUUUAAAAUGUCCUGUUUGAUCACAAUUAUAGCAUGUUUUUGGCCUGGCAUCUGAAGCCUGUUGUACUGCUGCUAAGACUUGCCCUUGUUCAUUAAUGUCUCUACAUAAUGUAAUAUAUGUGUUUAAAUCUUCAUGUCUCCAUGAUCUAAUGACCUCUCUGCAGCAACGAUUUGCUUGGUCAUAAGCCAGUUGUUUUAUAAAUGGCAUUGCCUGUUCUGUAUCCCCCAAAAUUCUGGAAGCUUCUUGAAUAAGCCUAUCUACAUAUUCAGCAUAAGGUUCAUUAGUUCCUUGUAUUACCUUAGAUAAUUGACCUUGUAAAUCUCCAUGCCCCUGUAAAGUUUUCCAUGCCUCAACCGCAUCUACAGCAAUUUGUGCGUAUACGCCAGGAUCAUAUUCAAUUUGUUGCCAUUGACCCUCAUAAGGUCCUUUUCCUAACAACAUAUGUAGAUUUCUUUGAGGGUAACCAGCUGCUGCAUUUCGCCUAGCUGUCUCCCUGCAAAAUUCCUCAUUGGCAUCCUUCCAUAACAAAUACUGUCCUCCAUUUAGCACAGAUUUACACAUACUAGCCCAAUCUGCUGGCGUCAUGUCCAAGUUAGUAAUGGAUUCGACCAUGCUUACAGUGAAGGGUGCUUGGGGACCACAGGUUGUUACAGCCUCCUUUAACUGCUUCACUGUUUUGAAAUCUAAAGCUCGGUGAAUUCGCUGCUCUCCUGCCUGCUCAAGUACAGGGCAUGCUAAUCUUUGAGGUCCUGUCUCAGGAUCCCAUCUAUCAACUACGGGGUUUGAGGGCCACUCAGCUAUCUCCAUAGGGGGGCUGUUGGUUGAAUUACGCCCUCUGGUGAUAGAACGGUGUUAGUAGCAGCCUCCUGUUGUAGCUUUUUCCCGAAUAGUUGUUUUUCCUCUAAGCUUUCUUCCUUUAAAUUUUCUUCCUCUGUCUGACUAGCUUGAGAGACCUUCUCUUUUGCUUGAUCUAAAAUGUCUUUCUCCAUGGUCUGAACCUCUAACAAUUUACUUAACACUCUUUCAGUUUGUUUUUUACUAAUUUCUAAUCUGUUAUAAAGAUAACGCAACCCAGUAAGAUAACACAAAACAAAACCGAAACAGAAUGAAACAAAAACGGAACAAAAAAUCGUUGUAUCAGUUUUCCUAUUUUCUUGAUAUGUGCAUUUGUGGUCUAUUUCUAUCUCUUCCUCAGGGGCGAACAACUUCAAACCUUGAGCCAACCAUUUUUCCCAAUCUGCCUGAGAAAAUUCUAGGGAUAGGCAGCUUGAAACAAACACAAAACAAAUCAAAACAAGAACACAUUUUAAAAUGGUCACCCAUUCUCUCGCCUUCCCUUAGGGGCAAGCAAUUUCACUUACCCCGAAGCUUCAGACGUUCCCCGCAUGGGCCGCCAAUUGCUGCAGUCUGGCUGGGCACAAAUCACGAGCCACUGAAGCAGGAACAAACUUUAUUUUUGAACUGCAGGAAAACACUUCACACAGCUCCCGGGGAAUCCUCCCUAACGCCACGCGGCUCGUCCAGGAACCCCCAGCUGGAAAUAUCUCUCCCAGAAAUCCCUCCUCCUGCACUUCCCCAACCAAUGGGAACUCUCCGGGAAUCCCCGGAAAUCCCCACGAGAACUCCAAAAUAGUGCGAGAACUCAAAAGUUGCGGCAGAGGCGGAUAGUAAUGCCUCGCCUGUCAAUCAAUACUGUUGGCAAAAUGCCAGGGGCCAUACAGACUUGGCCGUGGCUCUCAGUGUGUUAAUAGUAUAUGUGUUUGAUUCUUCAUUGCAAUAAACAUGUUAUAUGCUUCUAAAACAUUCAGUAGAAACCCAUGUUACCAAAACUUAAUUGGUAGUUCCAUAUAAUCUUUGGGAAAAUCAAAUCAUAAUCAGCCUGGAGUCUAUCAUAUUUUGAAACAGAGUAUUGUUUUCAAAGUUAUAUUAAAUCAAAAGAAGUUGAUCAUAGAACCUAAUAAUACUGUAUGAUGUUAAUAAUUUAGAAAAUAUAACGUGACAGGGCAUAAGAAUUAAAUAGUUAAUACAAAAUAAACAAAACUCUAAUGUUAAUAAUUAAGAUUCCUUAUUAGAAGAAAGCUGUGUGUCCUGGAAAUUUCUUUUCUUGACACGAAUGGCAUUUGUUUAAAGUAGUUGGGUGAUUUGGGCCAUUUAGCUUUAUAAGUUUUGAUUUGUUAAAUUUGAGGGGAAGGUUCAUGUUCUGAUCUUUAGAAUUCUAAAUAUGGAUUUAGAUCAAUAUUAUCCCACAUGCUUUCCAAUUAAAUUGAAAACAGUACUUAUGAUGGUUUGCCAAAUAUUUAGUAGUUGAUUGUAUUUAUUCAAAUAUCUCGGAAGUGAAUCCCUUGAUGAAUUUGUUGUGUAAAAGUGUUAGAUUUUAGUUUACAUGGCAGCUGAAAUUACUUCUGCUAUUUUAUGUAGGCUUGGGCUCUUUCCUGCAUAGCUUUAGGAUUUAGAUAACACUAACAUCUAACAUUUUCCCCAAUUUAUUAUUAUAUUAUAAUGAAAAAAUAUUUAAAAAAUCAAAAUAGUCAGUUUAUACAUAUUCAAAGCAAUGUCAUGUUUCAUUAAGAAAACAUUAAAUACUUAUGUCUGGAUUUAAAUUGCUUAUAUAGGUACUUGUAUAUCUUUUCAAAUAUAUAGGUAAAUGCUUUUGUGUGAAUAAAGUAGAAAACAAAACAAUGAAGAAUAAGAAAGCCAGAGAAUAAUAUACCAAAAUUAAAACAUAGAAUUGAUUAUUGUAAUGAAAUCAGAAUGAAAUAGAAAAUGUCCAUUAAUUACCAGUAGAAAGAUUAAAUUUCUUUUCCAUUAAUUUUAGUGGACAAAGUAUGAGAAGAGUGUACUAUGUUUUUCUAGAAUCCAAUGAAAUCUGAGAAAAAGUGUAUGCUUAGAAUAGUAUUGUUGUUUUUACUUUAUAACAAUUGAGUACCAUUAUAUGAGUAAUAAUGUGUAUGUUUUCUUCUUUAUAGCUUUCCAUUGAAAUAGGCCAUGAAGUUAAAAGUCAAAAUAAGCUAUUAGCUGAAAUGGAUUCACAAUUUGAUUCUACAACUGGAUUUCUAGGUAAAACUAUGGGAAAACUGAAGAUUUUAUCCAGGGGGAGCCAAACCAAGCUGCUGUGCUAUAUGAUGUUGUUUUCAUUUUUUGUCUUUUUUGUCAUUUAUGGAAUUAUUAAACUGAGGUGAUGCAAGUAAGUGUGAGUUUGGAAUUUGUUCCAAUUAAUAGGAUGGAGUACCACUUUGAUAAAAAUCAGCAUUGCAACAUUCCUAAUUUUGAAAUAGUAGACCUUUUCCAUUGAAGAUUACUGAAUUUUGCUUGUUUUAUAAAUCACAUUAGAUAAUACAGUGUUCUUUGAAUACUGUUUCUUAUUGACUCAUUUAACCCCUAUUUUCAGGGGUAUUGAGAUGGCCUAAAAUCAGUGUCGCUCUACCAACCUUUUUUUCUCAUUGUUUGCUAGUUGUCAGAUUAAUAUCCUGUUGUUAUCAUAAAUGGAGGUUUAUGUUCCACAUAAGAAAUAGUGGGAAAGUAGUAGAAUGCCUGCAGAGCCUGAUUCCCAGCUCUUAGGGUAGUAAGCCAGUCUGUGAUGGGAUGGUAAUUAUAUAUUUCUCUGCUGUCAUCAACUGGGGUGAUGUAUACCCCUUUCCUCCUUCAUUUGGUUACAAUUGGAGACUUAAGUUCUUUUUACCUAUAAUCUUAAUUUUUCAUCAAAUGACUCUUCUUUCUGUCCAGGACUUCCUUCUUUAAUAAAGCUUGUUAAUUGGGCAUAUGUCUGGUAGGGCCUAAUCUACAUGUGUAUCAACAUAGUUAUUGUUUUAUAUUAACAUAAACUCCAUUGACUUGGUUUAUGGUAGUUUUAUGAUUUUAGCUACUUAGGCAGGCCAUUUGAUUAUCAUUUGUGACAGAAUAAUGUGAAGUUAAGUGAUUGCUGAGCUCUGGGUAGAAAUAAAAUGUUCAAGAAAAUUAAUUGUCUCUGCUUUAUUAUGUGCUCAAAACAUUGAAAAUACUCAGCAUUGAAUUCAGAGUUAAGAGGAGUAUUAAUCCAGUGCAUUUGUUUAUAGAAAGCUAAACACAAAGGUGGAUUGUUAAGUAAAAAAGAAAUAUUAUCAAAUACUCUGUAUUGCUACUACUUUGGAGGUUUCAAAAAUAAAUUUUGUAUUGAAAUAUA